rnacentral:rRNA from 1 species
GAUGAACGCUGGCGGCGUGCCUAAUACAUGCAAGUCGAGCGAACGGACGAGAAGCUUGCUUCUCUGAUGUUAGCGGCGGACGGGUGAGUAACACGUGGAUAACCUACCUAUAAGACUGGGAUAACUUCGGGAAACCGGAGCUAAUACCGGAUAAUAUUUUGAACCGCAUGGUUCAAAAGUGAAAGACGGUCUUGCUGUCACUUAUAGAUGGAUCCGCGCUGCAUUAGCUAGUUGGUAAGGUAACGGCUUACCAAGGCAACGAUGCAUAGCCGACCUGAGAGGGUGAUCGGCCACACUGGAACUGAGACACGGUCCAGACUCCUACGGGAGGCAGCAGUAGGGAAUCUUCCGCAAUGGGCGAAAGCCUGACGGAGCAACGCCGCGUGAGUGAUGAAGGUCUUCGGAUCGUAAAACUCUGUUAUUAGGGAAGAACAUAUGUGUAAGUAACUGUGCACAUCUUGACGGUACCUAAUCAGAAAGCCACGGCUAACUACGUGCCAGCAGCCGCGGUAAUACGUAGGUGGCAAGCGUUAUCCGGAAUUAUUGGGCGUAAAGCGCGCGUAGGCGGUUUUUUAAGUCUGAUGUGAAAGCCCACGGCUCAACCGUGGAGGGUCAUUGGAAACUGGAAAACUUGAGUGCAGAAGAGGAAAGUGGAAUUCCAUGUGUAGCGGUGAAAUGCGCAGAGAUAUGGAGGAACACCAGUGGCGAAGGCGACUUUCUGGUCCGUAACUGACGCUGAUGUGCGAAAGCGUGGGGAUCAAACAGGAUUAGAUACCCUGGUAGUCCACGCCGUAAACGAUGAGUGCUAAGUGUUAGGGGGUUUCCGCCCCUUAGUGCUGCAGCUAACGCAUUAAGCACUCCGCCUGGGGAGUACGACCGCAAGGUUGAAACUCAAAGGAAUUGACGGGGACCCGCACAAGCGGUGGAGCAUGUGGUUUAAUUCGAAGCAACGCGAAGAACCUUACCAAAUCUUGACAUCCUUUGACAACUCUAGAGAUAGAGCCUUCCCCUUCGGGGGGCAAAGUGACAGGUGGUGCAUGGUUGUCGUCAGCUCGUGUCGUGAGAUGUUGGGUUAAGUCCCGCAACGAGCGCAACCCUUAAGCUUAGUUGCCAUCAUUAAGUUGGGCACUCUAAGUUGACUGCCGGUGACAAACCGGAGGAAGGUGGGGAUGACGUCAAAUCAUCAUGCCCCUUAUGAUUUGGGCUACACACGUGCUACAAUGGACAAUACAAAGGGCAGCGAAACCGCGAGGUCAAGCAAAUCCCAUAAAGUUGUUCUCAGUUCGGAUUGUAGUCUGCAACUCGACUACAUGAAGCUGGAAUCGUUAGUAAUCGUAGAUCAGCAUGCUACGGUGAAUACGUUCCCGGGUCU